ACUCCUACGGGAGGCAGCAGUAGGGAAUAUUGGUCAAUGGGCGAAAGCCUGAACCAGCCAUGCCGCGUGUCAGAUGAAGGUCCUCUGGAUUGUAAAUGACUUUUCUACGGGAAGAAUGAGCCGUCUGCGGACGGAAGUUGACGGUACCGUAGGAAUAAGCACCGGCUAACUACGUGCCAGCAGCCGCGGUAAUACGUAGGGGUGCAAGCGUUGUCCGGAUUUACUGGGUUUAAAGGGUACGUAGGCGGUUGUGCCAAGUCUGGGGUGAAAGUUUGCAGCUCAACUGUAAAAUUGCCUUGGAUACUGGUCGGCUAGAGUAGUGGAGCGGUGGCUGGAAUUUAUAGUGUAGCGGUGAAAUGCUUAGAUACUAUGAGGAACACCAAUUGCGAAGGCAGGUCACUGGUCACUAACUGACGCUGAGGUACGAAAGUGUGGGGAUCAAA
rnacentral:rRNA from 1 species